GAUCAUGGCUCAGGAUAAACGCUGGCGGCGCACAUAAGACAUGCAAGUCGAACGGAAGUCGUUAUAAAAAGGAUUGAAGAUUUAUCUGAUUGAGAUUUUAUAACAAUGGCUUUAGUGGCGGACUGGUGAGUAACACGUAAGCAACCUGCCUAUUAGAGGGGAACAACAGUUAGAAAUGACUGCUAAUACCGCAUAUGCCAUAGUGAAGACACCUUCACAGUGGGAAAGGAGCAAUCCG
rnacentral:rRNA from 1 species